rnacentral:misc_RNA from 1 species
AGCUUUAAGGAAAGCUCUUUGUUUUUUGAAAGGGUGCUUUUAUGAGAUAGAGCUUUUUUAGAUAAUGCUUUUUUAGAUAAUGCUGGGGAAGGUUUUCCGGUUUAUCUCGGAGGGCUUGUAGCUCAGUUGGUUAGAGCGCGCGCUUGAUAAGCGUGAGGUCGGAGGUUCAAGUCCUCCCAGGCCCACCAAUUUACCUAUCCAUUUGCCUUUAUCUGUUUAUUUGCCGAUUUAUCGGUCCAUUGAAUUUAAGUGUUGGUAGCAGUUUUAUAAUGAUGAGAAAUCAUGCUUAUAAAAGAACUCCUUAUAAAAGGCUUGUUUUUAAAAUGUGACGCUUAUCCAUUUCGCUUAGGUAAGAGAAACUUCAAGCGGUUCAAAUACAAAAGGCUUUAAGUUUUGCAAAACACUUUGAAUUUUGCAAAACACUUUGAAUUUUAAAGUGAUCCAAGUUCGUGAUCUCGAAUUUAAAAGUUUCGAAUGCUUUAUCCUUUUUUGGGGGCCGUAGCUCAGCUGGGAGAGCACCUGCUUUGCAAGCAGGGG